CCUACGGGAGGCAGCAGUGGGGGAUAUUGCACAAUGGGGGGAACCCUGAUGCAGCGACGCCGCGUGGGUGAAGGAGUGCUUCGGCAUGUAAAGCCCUAUCGGCAGGGAAGAAGCAAGACGGUACCUGACUAAGAAGCCCCGGCUAACUACGUGCCAGCAGCCGCGGUACUACGUAGGGGGCGAGCGUUAUCCGGAUUCACUGGGUGUAAAGGGAGCGUAGACGGCCAUGCAAGCCAGGGGUGAAAGCCUGGGGCCCAACCCCGGGACUGCCCUUGGAACUGCAUGGCUGGAGUGCGGGAGGGGCAGGCGGAAUUCCUGGUGUAGCGGUGAAAUGCGUAGAUAUCAGGAGGAACACCGGCGGCGAAGGCGACCUGCUGGACCGCGACUGACGUUGAGGCUCGAAAGCGUGGGGAGCGAACAGGAUUAGAUACCCCAGUAGUC
rnacentral:rRNA from 1 species